rnacentral:rRNA from 1 species
UGACGGCCAGUGAUUCGAGACGGGCCUCGCGGUGCAUCUAGAUUAACUGGAAUGGCUCAUUAAACAGUUAUAGUUUAUUUGAUACAUUAAAUGGAUAACUGUAGAAAAACUAGAGCUAAUACAUGCCGAGACCAUAAGGUUGUAUUUAUUAGAUAUUGUAAUUAAGAUGAAUCAUAAUAACUCUACAAAUCUCGAUCCUAUCGAGAUAAAUCAUCCAAGUUUCUGCCCUAUCAGCUUUCGAUGGUGGUGUAUUGGACUACCAUGGCUUUCACGGGUAACAGGGAAGAGGGGACGAUUCUGGAGAAGGAGCCUGAGAAACUUUUUACUACAUCUACGGAAGGCGGCGCGCGCGUAAAUUACCCAAUCCUGACUCAGGGAGGUGGUGACAAGAUAUAAUGACGCUAUGAAAAAUAGUGAUUAUAGUGAGGGUUUUCCAAACCGAACCACUAGUACGAUUAGAGGGCAAGUCUGGUGCCAGCAGCCGCGGUAUUCCAGCUCUAAUAGCGUAUAUUAAAGUUGCUGCAGUUAAAAAGCUCGUAGUUGGAUUUCAAGGAUUACAUAUUCCUAAAGGAAUGUGUACCCUACUAGCCCAGUUCUGGCUGUUACUGUGAAAAAAUUAGAGUGUUAAAGCAGGCUCAUGCAAAAAUACACUUAGCAUGGCA